CAGAGUAAGGCCAUGCGCGUUAAGUGCCGCAUCAACGGGGAGUUGUGCUGCGGACGAAGGGCGGUUUGCCCGCGGUGCAUGGUCUGCAUCCCGCUGC
rnacentral:ncRNA from 1 species